rnacentral:rRNA from 1 species
GAUGAACGCUAGCGGGAGGCCUAACACAUGCAAGCCGAGCGGUAUUGUUUCUUCGGAAAUGAGAGAGCGGCGUACGGGUGCGGAACACGUGUGCAACCUGCCUUUAUCUGGGGGAUAGCCUUUCGAAAGGAAGAUUAAUACUCCAUAAUAUAUUGAACGGCAUCGUUUAAUAUUGAAAGCUCCGGCGGAUAGAGAUGGGGCACGCGCAAGAUUAGCUAGUUGGUGAGGUAACGGCUCACCAAGGCAAUGAUCUUUAGGGGGCCUGAGAGGGUGAUCCCCCACACUGGUACUGAGACACGGACCAGACUCCUACGGGAGGCAGCAGUGAGGAAUAUUGGUCAAUGGGUGCAAGCCUGAACCAGCCAUCCCGCGUGAAGGACGACUGCCCUAUGGGUUGUAAACUUCUUUGUAUAGGGAUAAACCUUUCCACGUGUGGAAAGCUGAAGGUACUAUACGAAUAAGCACCGGCUAACUCCGUGCCAGCAGCCGCGGUAAAAGUGU